rnacentral:sRNA from 1 species
GUUUCGGUUUGUUGUGGACAAAUGUAGUGUACAUGUGUAUCAAUUGCACCAGCUGUUACAAUUAAACCCUCGGCUGAAAGCACUUCUGUACCGGUUCCAACAACCAAUCUCGGGUCAACGCCAUCCAUUGUAUCAGGGUUACCCGCUUUACCAAUACCUGCAAUUUUUCCAUCUUUAAUACCAAUGUCGGCUUUUACAAUACCCCAGUAUUCCAAUACAAUCGCAUUGGUCAGACAAAAAUCCAGCGCACCUUCAUGGUUUGUCAUACCUGAUUUUUGUCCCAUACCAUCACG